CUGCAGCUCAAGUGGUGGCCACUAUUAUUGGGCCUAAAACGUUCGUAGCCGGUUUGGUAAAUGCCUGGGUAAAUCGUGUAGCUUAACUAUACGAAUUCCGGGUAGACUGCCAAACUUGAGACCGGGAGAAGCUAGAGGUACUCCUGGGGUAGAGGUGAAAUUCUGUAAUCCUAGGGGGACCACCAGUGGCGAAGGCGUCUAGCUAGAACGGGUCUGACGGUGAGGGACGAAGCCCUGGGGCACAAACCGGAUUAGAUACCCGAGUAGUCC
rnacentral:rRNA from 1 species